ACGGCAACAUCGAGUCAAAACAUCAGUUCCCGUACGAACACCGAAGUUAAGCAACGUCAGGCCUGGUCAGUACCUAGGUGGUUGACCGCUUGAAUUUCAUGU